rnacentral:rRNA from 1 species
UUACACAUGCAAGUCGAACGGAAAGGCCCUUCGGGGUACUCGAGUGGCGAACGGGUGAGUAACACGUGGGUGAUCUGCCCUGCACUCUGGGAUAAGCCUGGGAAACUGGGUCUAAUACCGGAUAGGACCACACACUUCAUGGUGAGUGGUGCAAAGCUUUUGCGGUGUGGGAUGAGCCCGCGGCCUAUCAGCUUGUUGGUGGGGUAAUGGCCCACCAAGGCGACGACGGGUAGCCGGCCUGAGAGGGUGACCGGCCACACUGGGACUGAGAUACGGCCCAGACUCCUACGGGAGGCAGCAGUGGGGAAUAUUGCACAAUGGGCGCAAGCCUGAUGCAGCGACGCCGCGUGAGGGAUGACGGCCUUCGGGUUGUAAACCUCUUUCAGUAGGGACGAAGCGAAAGUGACGGUACCUACAGAAGAAGGACCGGCCAACUACGUGCCAGCAGCCGCGGUAAUACGUAGGGUCCGAGCGUUGUCCGGAAUUACUGGGCGUAAAGAGCUCGUAGGUGGUUUGUCGCGUUGUUCGUGAAAACUCACAGCUUAACUGUGGGCGUGCGGGCGAUACGGGCAGACUAGAGUACUGCAGGGGAGACUGGAAUUCCUGGUGUAGCGGUGGAAUGCGCAGAUAUCAGGAGGAACACCGGUGGCGAAGGCGGGUCUCUGGGCAGUAACUGACGCUGAGGAGCGAAAGCGUGGGUAGCGAACAGGAUUAGAUACCCUGGUAGUCCACGCCGUAAACGGUGGGUACUAGGUGUGGGUUUCCUUUCCUUGGGAUCCGUGCCGUAGCUAACGCAUUAAGUACCCCGCCUGGGGGAGUACGGUCGCAGACUAAAACUCAAAGGGAAUUGGACGGGGGCCCGCACAGGCGGCGGAGCAUG